AUUGAACGCUGGCGGCAGGCCUAACACAUGCAAGUCGAGCGGUAGAGAGAAGCUUGCUUCUCUUGAGAGCGGCGGACGGGUGAGUAAUGCCUAGGAAUCUGCCUGGUAGUGGGGGAUAACGUUCGGAAACGGACGCUAAUACCGCAUACGUCCUACGGGAGAAAGCAGGGGACCUUCGGGCCUUGCGCUAUCAGAUGAGCCUAGGUCGGAUUAGCUAGUUGGUGGGGUAAUGGCUCACCAAGGCGACGAUCCGUAACUGGUCUGAGAGGAUGAUCAGUCACACUGGAACUGAGACACGGUCCAGUCUCCUACGGGAGGCAGCAGUGGGGAAUAUUGGACAAAGGGCGAAAGCCUGAUCCAGCCAUGCCGCGUGUGUGAAGAAGGUCUUCGGAUUGUAAAGCACUUUAAGUUGGGAGGAAGGGCAGUAAAUUAAUACUUUGCUGUUUUGACGUUACCGACAGAAUAAGCACCGGCUAACUCUGUG
rnacentral:rRNA from 1 species